UCUAUUUCAUUGUACAUGCAUUCAUAUAUUUAUGAUUGGGCAUAGUAGCGUAGCUUUACUUCUGUCAUUUACCGCUUUCCUUAUCUAUCUAUCUAUCGAUUAUCUACUUUUGCCCGCUUGGACCUAGUGGGGAGAUCGGCGGAGUCGGCGGCCGAACCCACUGGGAACUAAGGAAGUUAGUUCUCACCCCACUCUUUACAGGUUCUAGUUCGGGCGUCCCCGGUGAGCGUGAGGAUCGUGGUAAGGGCAAGGCGCUCUAGUCGCAUUAGCUACCUCCCUUUUGCAUUAGCUGUCACCCUUUUUGUAUUUGAGAGUAGAUGUUGUAUAGGGUGAGGUUUGAGUGCUUGUACUUAUAUUUUUGGAAGAAUGUAAAAGACGUACUUAAAUGUAGUAAAUCAAAUGAAUGUAAUGGAUAGCCUCUUCUCUCUUAUGUACUUGUAUAUGUUUCUAUACUUGGUGGUGCUUCUUGAUCGUGUAUUUAUGAAUUGAUUCCUGGGUAAAUUCUUAUACAUGAUCUGUUGGUUAGCCUUGGACGGACAGGGGAGGUCCUGUCCGUUUGGCGUCUAUUCGACGCGCCCGGGGCCGGACCAAAUUGGUAGCGGUCUCGGGGAGUGACAGAGUCCCAAAUUUACACUCUCUGGGCAUAAUAGAACAAUAUAAUUAGGUUUUACUCAUUGUUCGAUAGAAUGAGAAAAAGUACUCGUUGCAAAUUUAUACUGUUUGGGCGCAACUGAGUAUUGUAAUGUUGUUUCGGUUUUAAUUCUUGUGAACGUUGACAUGAAAUCGUUCCAAAUUUACACUCUCGGGACAUAAUAGAAAAAUAUAAUUAGGUUUUACUCUUUGUUCGAUAGAAUUAGAAAAAGUACUCGUUGCAAAGUUAUACUAUAAAGGUGCAACUGGGUAGUCUAAUGUUGUUCCGGUUUUUCUUCUUGUGAACGUUGACAUCGAUUCGUUCCAAAUUUACACUCUCUGGGCAUAAUAGAACAAUAUAAUUAGGUUUUACGCUUUGUUCGAUAGAAUGAGAAAAAGUACUCAUUGCAAAGUUAUACUGUUAGGGCGCAACUGAGUAGUCUAAUGUUGUUCCGGUUUUUGUUCUUGUGAACGUUGACAUCGAUUAGUUCCAAAUUCACAAUCUCAGGGCAUAAUAGAACAAUAUAAUUAGGUUUUACUCUUUGUUCGAUUGAAUGACAAAAAGUACUCGUUGCAAUGUUAAAUUGUUAGGACGCAACUGAGUAGUCUAAUGUUGUUCUGGUUUGGUUCUUGUGAACGUUAACAUCGAUUCGUUCCAAAUUUACACUCUCGGGGCAUAAUAGAACAAUAUAAUUAGGUUUUACUCUUUGUUCGAUUGAAUGAGAAAAAGUACUCGUUGCAAAGUUAUACUGUUAGGGCGCAACUGAGUAGUCUAAUGUUGUUCUGGUUUUGGUUCUUGUGAACGUUGACAUCGAUUCAAUCCAAAUUAACACUCUUGGGGUAUAAUAGAACAAUAUAAUUAGGUUUUACUCCUUGUUCGAUUUAAUGAGAAAAAGUACUCGUCGCAAAGUUAUACUGUUAGUGCGCAACUGAGUAGUCUAAUGUUGUUCCGGUUUUGGUUCGCAAAGUUAUACUAUGCCACCUGCUGCGGCGUCGGCUGGACGUGUGACGGCACCACGUCAACCUGAACAAGCACGAUCGGCUCCGAGCGGAAGGAUGUAUGCCGCUCAAGUACAAGUGGAGGAGCCCCCUGAAGCUGAGGAGCGUAAUGUAGUGGCAGGUAUGGUGUUGAUUAAUGGUGUUCGAGCAAGAGCUCUUUUUGAUACUGGCGCUUCUCACUCGUUUAUUAACUAAUCAUUUGCGCAAGUGCAUGACAUUGAGAUUAGUCUCGGGGAGAGUGUUUGGCGUGUAGAGGGACCCGGACGAGCGUUCCUCGUUAAGAAGCGGUGCUUGGCGUGCCCAGUACAAGUAGGUGACUGGAUUAUGCCAGUCGACCUGUUGGUGCUAAAGAGUUCGUGUAUUGGGCAUGAACUGGCUCUCGAAGUAUUAUGUGUCUAUCGACUGUAAGACUAGAGUGAUCACAUUUCGGGAGCCGGGACACGAGGAGUUUACGUAUCGAGCUUGCAAGAGUUCGUGUUUCGCCGCGACGGUGUCGGCGACGAGAGCAAGGAAGCUGGUUAAUAGCAGUUGUACGGCUUACUUGGCGACCGUUAGGAAGUCGACCGAGUAGUGCCGGUUCUGGAAGAGUUGGAGGUUGUGCAAGAAUUCCCGGACGUGUUUCCGAAAGAGUUACUGGGGAUGCCGCCAGACCGAGAAAUUGAGUUCAUGAUCAACUUGCUUCCCAGGAUCGCGCCGAUAUCAAAGGCCCCGUAUCAUAUGGCGCCGGCUGAGUUAAGGGAGUUGAGGGAUCAGUUGCAGGAUCUUCUCGACAAGCAGUUCAUUAGGCCGAGCGUGUCUCCGUGGGGAGCCCCGGUAUUGUUUGUGCGCAAGUAGGAUAGAUCUUUUCGACUCUGUGUGGAUUACCGCGAGUUGAAUAAGGUCACCGUGAAGAACAAGUAGCCGUUACCCCGCAUCGACGACUUGUUUGAUCAGUUACAGGGGUCGCGAGUGUACUCAAAGAUUGACCUUCAAUCCGGCUACCAUAAAUUGAAGAUUAAGCCGGAGGAUGUUCCGAAGACAGCCUUCCGUACGCGGUAUGGACACUAUGAGUUCACGGUGAUGCCGUUUGGGCUUAUGAAUGCCUCGGCUGCGUUCAUGAGCUUGAUGAACCGAGUAUUUAGGGAGUGCUUAGACCGAUUUGUCGUAGUCUUUAUAGACGACAUCUUGGUCUAUUCGCACAACGAGGAGGAGCAUGUGAAGCAUUUGCGCACUGUACUUCAAAUCCUUCGGGAGAAGAAGUUGUACGCAAAGUUGAAGAAGUGUGACUUAUGGCUCCGGGAAGUUGCUUUUCUCGGGCAUGUUAUUUCCGAGGGCGGUGUUUCUGUGGACCCGAGGAAAGUAGAGGCUAUUGAGAAUUGGCCACGCCCGACGAAUGUUGCUGAGGUCCGAAGUUUUGUGGGCCUAGCGGGUUAUUACCGACGGUUUGUGGAGGGUUUCUCGAAGAUCGUAACUCCACUCACCCGUCUGACGCAGAAGGGCACCAGAUUUGUUUGGAGCGACGAGUGUGACCAGAGUUUCAAGGAGCUGAAGGAAAGAUUAACUUCAACUCCGGUACUCGCCUUACCGGUGCAGGGUGAGGAUUAUGUAGUGUAUAGCGACGCAUCCUAUCUGGGUCUGGGGUGUGUACUGAUGCAAGGUGGGAGGGUGAUUGCUUAUGCAUCCCGUCAAUUGAAAAGCUACGAGAGGAACUACCCCAUACAUGAUUUGGAAUUGGCGGCGGUAAUCUUUGCUUUGAAGCUUUGGAGACACUAUCUGUAUGGUGCUCAUUGCGAGAUCUACACCGACCAUAAGAGUUUGAAAUACUUGUUUACCCAGAAGGAGCUGAACAUGCGGCAACGGCGGUGGUUGGAAUUGCUUAAGGACUACGAUGUUGAUAUCCUUUACCACCCCGGGAAAGCGAACGUGGUCGCGGAUGCACUUAGUCGGAAGUCGGCGGAGAACCUCGCUUUGUGGGUUACAAGCCAGACGCCCAUGCAGUUGCAAAUGGGGAAGAUGGAUCUCGAGGUGGUGGCUCCGGAAAUUCCGGCUAGGAUGAUGACGUUGGUGAUCCAACCGACCUUAUUGGAGAGGAUUAAAGAUUCGCAGUCGGCGGACCCGAAUCUCCAGAAGGUACGGCACAAUGUUGAAAGUGGCCGUGGCGGAGAUUUCAGCGUAGAUACUAGUGGUGCACUACGAUUUCAAAAUCGGUGGUGUGUGCCAAAUGACGAGGAGCUUCGCAAGCUGAUUUUGCAAGAAGCGCAUUGGUCUCCUUAUGUCGACCACCCGGGCGGCACCAAAAUGUUUCACGAGUUGAAGACAUUGUACUGGUGGCCGGGAAUGAAGACUGAUAUUGGCCGCUUCGUAGCGAAGUGUUUGGUGUGCCAACAGGUGAAGGCGCAGCGUCGAUUUCCAGUGGGGAAGCUUCAGAGUUUAACUAUUCCCGUCUGGAAAUGAGAUGACAUAUCGAUGGACUUCAUCGUUAGCUUACCUCGUUCGACAAGGGGCCACGACGCGAUUUGGGUGAUUGUGGAUCGUUUGACGAAAUCGGCGCACUUUCUGCCGAUCCACAACACCUGGGCAGGUGAGAAACUCGCGCAGGUAUAUCUCGACGAGGUGGUGAGGCUACAUGGGGUGCCGAAGUCGAUUGUAUCAGAUCGAGACCCCAAGUUCACUUCACACUUUUAGAGAAGCCUACAAGAAGCCCUUGGCACGCGACUCGAGUUCAGUACCGCCUUUCAUCCUCGGACAGAUGGACAGACCGAGAGAACCAUCCAGACCUUGGAGGAUAUGUUGCGGGCGUGUGCCAUCAACAUAUGCUCCAAACAAUCCAAAUAUUAAGGAUUUAACAAGCUAACUUCACAUUAGAGGCUAUUAGAACACUUAAACUUAAGGAUUAAGCCAAAUCCCGAUAGCUUACCAAAAUAUGAACGCUGAAACGGAAGCACGCCAAUCCAACGGGCGCAUGAAAACUCGAUCCGUCGCUCCCAACGCGUUCGCAAGCUCGAUCUCCACCAACGCCGUGAAUUUGGGCGAAAGAUCUAGAGAGAUGAGAGAGAUAUUUAGAGAGAGAAAGAGAGGGUUUCUCUCUCCUUCACCAUGUGCGUGUGAUGCUUGGUGCUAGCUGCAGCUGAGGAGGAAGAAGCCUAGUAGCUUCUACUUAUAGUCAACACCUCAAUAGUAGCAUACACUAUUCACAUCAGGCAGCUCCAAAUCUGAUAUCUUUCGUCGGAGCUCCCUGAAUAUCCGUUUGAGCUCAAAUUUGACAGUCAUGUUCGGUUCAACGUACUGAACAAGAAUAUAUCUUAAGUUUUCAGUUUCGACCCCGUUUGGUCACCGAAAACUGUGCCGAACUGCAAUCUUUAUCAGAUGACUUUCGGAUUUUAUUUCUCACUCUACGGGUGUCAGAAAAAUAUGAAACUUUAAAUCUAGCCUCAUUAAAAUAUUUCUGGCAUCCCCGCCAAUUUUCAUAAUUUUCUGAGGCUGUACAUUUUCUGCUAAUUUAUCUGCCCCGUUUCUCACAGAAAAUCUAAAUCUUCUGUUUCGCUCUGAUUUCAACACGGGUCAUUCCAGACUUAUAUUUCACUUCUCUAAAUCUAAUAAAAAUAGUAUCUCAUACUAUUUUUAUUUAUUUUCCUUUUUAUAUUAAAAUCCGCAUAUUACAUCCCACUGUAACUUCAUAAUUUUAGUAGUUCGGUAUCCUACAUACACAAUGUAUUCCAUGUCUCCAAUCUUCGCAAGUAUGUGCAUGAUCCCGAGCAUGUCUUGGUCUACGAGCCGUCAGAACUGCAAGGAGACAUGAGCUACGAAGAGUUUCCGGUGGAGAUCCUAGCUCGAGAGGUGCGUAAGUUGAGAAGUCGCGAAAUCCCUUAUGUUCGAGUCCGGUGGAGUAAUCAUAGCGAUCGUGAAGCCACCUAGGAGCUCGAGGAGGAGAUGAAAGCGAAUCAUCCUCACUUAUUUAAGGAUUGAGCUGAGGUAUGAGUUUAAAAUUCGAAUUCUGAAUGAACUUAGUGUCGUUGAGUUCGUUUCGAGGACGAAACUCUUUUAAGGUGGGGAGAAUGUAAGGAAAGUGAAUUCUCGAAAUCCGAGGAUUAGACUUCGUCUGGAAUCGACUGGUUGUCGAGUGUGUAAGCUUCGGAAAGUCCGAAGGCGAUUAAAGCACAUGAAGUGCAUUAAGAAAGGUCCGCGAGAGCACCAGUGCAAAAGCUGCACUGGGGCAGAAAUGCUUUCGGGGACCGGUCCCUGGCAAGGAGGGACCGGUCCCAUCGGGCUGGGCUGCGGGGGUCUCUGAUGAGACCGGUCCCUGGCAGGCAGGGACCGGUUCCCGAACGUUAGCCCAGCGAGAAUUAGCCGAAAUUUGGCUAAGUCCCGAGAACUCAGCUCUCGGGGACCGGUCUCUCGGAUAAGGACCGGUCUCCCGGGGACCGGUCUCUCAGGUAAGGACCAAUUCCCGAACGCGAAAUCCCCUCUGCCUGAUUGUGCAGCUCUCGGGGACCGGUCUCCCCGAGCUUGGACCGGUCCCUCACUGCGAAAAUGGCCCAGUGAGAGGCUGUGUAAUAGAUGAAAAGUUGAGGGGUUUAAUUGCAAAAUGGCUUAUAUGAGAGGCUAGGGGACCCUCUCUCUCUCUCAUUUGCUUUCUCUCCCUUUCACACUCUUUCCCUCUCUCUCUCUAGGAAAGAAAAGAAGGAGAAGAAGGAGAAGAAAAGAAGAGGAAGGAAAAGACUAAGAAGAAGAAGAAGAUUGUCUUCUUCUCUCUCCCUCAAGCUUGAGGUCUUGAAGAGAGGUAAGCUUUAAACCCUUUAAUGGUGUUCUAGGGUUUGGGGGUUUUAUAGCUUAGAAAUAGUUCAAGCUCGAAGUCGAGGCUCGCCCCACGGAUUUCCCCACCGUUGCUAACCUAGGGCACGGAUUUGGGAUUUUUAGAAAUCUAGGGUUUUGAUCUCAAUUAAUGGGUCGCAAACCUAAUUGCUAGGUCCCUGAACGCGCCGGCGAAGACGGUUUGUCGAUCCGUCGAGUAGGUGCGUAGUUAUUGUCGAAGGCGACCCUCGGAGCGUCGUUUCCGCUGAGAAGGCCGACGAGGCGUCGAAACGUCGGCGAAUCGCAUACGAAGGGUCGCGGCAUCGCCAUGAGGUGGGAGAGUGCCAUCCCGAAGCAGUCGUGUCACGCCCCGCGACCAACCGCCAAUUUGGACCGGGUCGCGGCGCCGCCGACAGACCGCCGACCGGACCAGGAAUUCCCCUGUACGCGGACAGAGUCUCCUAAGUACGUCCAAGGCGUCGCAAUCCAAACAAUCAACGAAUGUUCCAACAAGGAACGGAUAUCAAUCCAAAUUGCAUAAGGAAGUAUCAAAUACAUAAUCUACUUGCUAUCACAAGCAUUCAUUUCACAACCACGUUUUACAUCACAGUUUCAGUUUACAUUUUUACUUCCGAAUUACAAUCUCACUAUUACAUCAGGGUUUAUGAGUUUGAUACAUUUUCUUUUCUUGUCUUCUAGACCCCUAAGCUAGACUGUCUCAGGGUACUGCUACCUCGGUCUCUGUAGUGGGGCGCUAUCUACUGAGCUACGCCUUCGCCUCGCGCCGCCGCGCCGCACACGAACGACCUGAAAAUCCCAAAACAACGUGGGGUGAGAACCAACUCCAUGGUUCCCAGUGGGUACGGCCACCCAAGGAAAAAGCUCGACCGAUAGGUCCGAGGAGGCACUGCAACAUGUUAGUUCAACCAAUAACAGCAGUAAUAUAUACAAUGCUGAAAUACACUGGCCAUGCCUCACAAUAUGCGAUAUGAAAUCUGCACAACAAGUAAUCAUUUGAAAUUCUACUUUUACUUGCUACUUUAGCCAAAUGAAUUACUCCCUAAGGUUCUAUUACCUUAGGGAUCAGCAACACCAACCCCACUAGCUUUCUAAGGUUUCUAUUACCCGUAGGAUCAGCCCUCCUAUCCAGCCUCAUCAGGGUUUCCUCUACCCUAUCAAUAACUAACCAACCCGACUCGGCCCCUUCGAGUCAAUCAUCCCUGCGAUAGCCUGCGCACUGGCUGCUCAACAGCCUACGCACUCUCUCUGACUCAGGCCUCGCUACACACCGGCGAAAAUCGUCGCACACGCUGAGGCACCGGCUCGAGUCGCCAAGACUUGACCAUCCGGUGGCCGAUCGCGUUCACUUAACCAACCGUGAGCUCCCUGAGACCAUGACAUACGUCCUGCGCGAACGGGUGCACCCAGACAACGAUCUUGUCAGACUUAGUCACCUGGAGGCACCCCCCGCAUUGACUACCCAGCAUCGGAUUCAGUCACUCUGGCGGCUGAUCCUCAAAUGGCUAACCAUCCCGGCGGGCCCGAAAUCGUCGCACAAACGCCACGCAAUGGUUCAACGACCCGGGCCCCCCCGGUGAUCUCUAUAUUGAUCGCCCCCAACACCCACGGUACCAAGCUCGGCGGCGAAGUCGCGGCACCGAACCGGCCCUAGCCGACUGUUACCCAGCGGACAUUCAUUAAGUCCUGGGAUUCCGGAAUCCACUUACCCCACAGGUCGAGGGUCCCAUAAAACCAACCCUAUACUGUCGACCCCUAUCUCAUCCCUAGUGGCUAACCACAUACGCCAUCAACCUAAGGUCCAAUACUCCCUAAGGUUCAGGUCCAUGUCACUUACCUAGAUAACACUUGGCCUAGGUUCAUGCAUUUUACCUAGAUGUCCACUUCUAGGUUUACUAGUUCGACCUACGGUUUACUAAACUAGGUUAGUGAAAGCACAACACCUAAAUCGUUCGAUCUCUAGGUUCACCUGUUAACCUUGUUCUUUAAUACUAGUUAAGCCACUCGAUCCAGUCUGGCAACCUAGUGUCCCAAUCAUCCACCUACUCACACAGAAAGUUAUCAAGCUAGAGUUUUAUACCUAUACCAUACAUCAUUGCUUCCUAAGCUUAGCAAUUUACCCUAUGCAUCCUUGCACAUCGCAUUUCUUAAAAAACAAAAAAAAAAAAAAUACACCAGCUAGCAUACCUAAAAUGCAUAAUCAUCUAUGGCUUCACUGGGCACUGUUAUUAAUAUCGCAUUUUGCUCAUAUCAGCACUUACUAGCAUUAUAUUUAUUGUCAUGCUUACUAAGCAUAAUGUAACCCUUGCUCCACUAUGCAUUUCCACCUUAGCAGCUUUCAUCUAUGCAUUAUCUUCUAUCAUGCAUCUAACCUUACAUUGGUUUAGCAUUUUACUUAUGCAUAUCUAUUAAUGACCAACUUAGCUUGUCUACAUGCACAUGCAUCCAACUGAGAUUAGAUUGGCUAAGACAUAAGGGUGACCUAGUCGGCUCCCCGGUAAGCAGCAACCCACCUUAUCGCGUCCGAUUGCUUGUCGACCACUUGCAUUCGUCUCGCGCGCACUCGCACCCGUUUGGCCCCGAACUCUUGCGCGACUGUGCGACCGUAACCCUCCGAACCGGCGAUCCGUCUUUCCGGAGUUUAUUCCUUGACUCCAAGAUGGCUCGAUUCCGAUGCUCACGAUUUGUAGGCGUUUUAUUCCGGCGUGCCGGCCAUUCUGUGACGCAAGAACCGACCGGUUUCGUGCAUAAACUUCGCGUACGUCGUCCGGAUUGUCGAACCCGAGCGUUUCAACGGCGGUUCAUAGGUCCCGCAUAGGUUCUCCAAAGUGGUCAAAAUAGAUCAAAACCCCAUAUGAGCAAAACCCCUCUUUGGGAUGCCCUAACAUAUGCUCAAUACUUCGGAUUUGAUCUAUAAAACAAGCAAAAGAUAGCUUGUUUAUCAUCUAGGAGCUCAAAUAGGAGUAUUCGAACCAUUUCUAGGGUGUUUAGGACAAACUCUAGAAAUCCACCAUUAAAGCCUCAUGAAGAACAACAUGGAUUUCAUGUGUUCUUGGCCUCUACGAAGUUCUAAAGCUUGUACGUAGAUCAAAACCAAAGAUCUAGGGUUUAAAACCCAUUCUACAAAAAUCUACCAUGAGAGGCUUGGAAGCUUACCUCUCCUAGAGCUCCAAGGGAGAGAAGAAGAUGAAGAGGAUGAUGAUGGUGAUGAUCCUCUUCCUCUCCUCCAUCUUCUCCUUCUUUUCUUCUUCUUCUUUUCUUCUUUUCCCUUCUUCUCUUCUCUUUUUCCUUCUCUUUUCUUGCAACCGGUUGAGAGAGAGGGAGAGACACGAGAGAGAGAGAGAGAGAGAGAGAGAGAGAGAGAUCUGCUGUGGGGGAGAGGGGUUUAGGGCUAUUACAUUAGGUAACAAUUGCUAAUAAACCCCUCCAAUCAUUUAUAAUUGCAGCAGACUAAUUCUGUGCUGUUCGGACUCCUUGUACCGGUACACGGUUUCUUGUACCGGUACAAGGCCUGGCAGACAGCCCAACCCGAGAGCUGGCUCUCUCGGUUGCGCAGGGCUUGUACCGGUACAAGACCCCUUGUACCGGUACAAGGCCUGGCAGCUCCAAGCCUUGAACUUCGCUGGUUGUACCGGUACAACCAUUGGGCUUGUACCGAUACAAGACAUCCAGAAUGUCAUUUUUGACUUCGUUUUCACUCUCUUUCGCGCCGUUCGAUGCCAAAACUCUUCCAACUAUUUUGAGCUUACUUUUAGCCCUUCCAACCGUGUUGGAAUGUUAAUUGGGACUUGUCCAUCCAUCUUCUUCGCAUACUUUAGUCGAUUUGGCUAAAGUUCGAUAAUUUCUUCCGAAACCUCGGGGGUUACAAGUCGGGCUGCUCUCUAUGUCUGAGUAACAUUGUCGAUCAUUUACAUAUUGUGAUAUAGCAUUAUAGGGUGUUUGUCACGCCCCGAGACCGCUACCAAUUUGGUGCGGUUCGAGCGCGUCGAACAGACGCCGAACGGACAGAGUCUCCCCUGUCCGCCCAAGGCUAAGCAAACGAUCAUGUACAAGGAUUUACCCAGGAAUCAAAUCAUAAGUACACAAUCACAAGAGCACAACAAGUGCUAACAAGUAAGAGCAAGGCACAAGUAUAAAGAAUACAAGUAACGAUAAAGAGAGAAGGUCUAUCUAUUACAUUCAUUCAACCUCUUUAAUACAUCGAUUUACAUUUAAACUGCCAAAUACAACAUGAGUUUACAUUUCCAAAAUGAUUCCUCACACCCUAUACAUCAUCUACUCUCAAGUACAAAAGGAUACUCUAACUCGUCUACUUGUGGCUUACAAUAUCACUGCGGUUAAGGUCAACCAAUCCCACACGGGUCAAUACUCUAACCUAGCUCGAGUGAAUCGGACAGAGGUGGACACCUCCAUCGAGGAGUGUCCAUCACGUGAGGCCUCAAACCGUGCGCUCCCCCGGUCACAUCACGGGAACCUGGUCACAUCACAGGCGUCCGCCAGAGCCCCAUCCACUUAUCGAUCGGUGGAGGGGAUACUCUGAAUCUCUGCACUCUGACACUCGCUUGGAACGCAAGCGAUUCUCUAACCCAUUAACUAACUUACUAAAAUAAUAACUCGUAUCAUCAUACUAUCGGUCGGAAGAGUGAUACUCAGGGUACGUACGUAGUAUGACCUAACUCUGUAACUAUCUAAUAUCAAGUAUCAACGAGUAAUGACAAUUACGAAAGUCAAAAUAUAUAGAUUGAUGAGCAACGUUUCAGAUAUGACAAACCCGCGUUGACUCAUCUGGAUUACCCCUCUAGGCGCCUCAGCCAGUCGGCUUGGGUGACUGUUGCUAAGCAUCAAGAGUGUGGUGGUACAAUGAUGUCCCGGCUCGCGCUCGCGUGUGCCGCUCCUAGCGCCGUUCCCGCAUCGCGGGAUCUACUGUAAUCAUCUCCAAAUGAAAGGAGUACGUGAUCUCGGUGGUACAUGAUAANCUGGAGAACUUUAGUGUGGUUUAGACACUAUGAGAUUGAGCAGAUGAACACCGAAUGUUAUAGUGACGCCAAUUCCAGUUGGUUAGGGUGUGCCCAGUUAUGAGAUUGGAUCGAGCUCACUUAGCCUGUCUCCACCUGUGGAGGUAGCUCCUCACAGGUAGUGCACUCCGGAGUUUGGCACGCGAGGGGGCCAGUGUAGUGCCCUUGGACCAGUGUAGUGUCCGCAGGCGGUCUCGGGGUAGGUGAAUAGCUAGCCACCUCCCCUAUGAGACUUAGAGACGUGAGACUGUGAGCGAACCUUGCGUUCGCUAAGAGAUUGGGUAAUUGAUUGAAUGAUUUUAUUAUUGAGCAUAGUAGUAUGAUAGCCAGCCUUCUCACUAUGAGUCCCAUGCAUGCAUCAUACUGGAUUGAGACAUUGAUAGAUUAUAGUUCAUAGUUGCUCAUUACUGUUAAUGCUUUCAGUUUUAUAUAUCUAUCUAUCUGCAUGUCUAUCUGUGCCUGCUUAGACCUAGUGGGGAGAUCGGCGGAGUCGGCAGCCGAACCCACUGGGAACUAUUCGUAGUUCUCACUCCACCAUGUUGCAGGUCCGAGUUCGAGCGCCCCUGGUGAGGAUCGCGGCAAGGGCGUAGCGCCCUAGUGACAUUAGUAGAGGUUUACUUUCCUCAUGCACUAGUUGUAUCCUGUACUAUUUUGAAAGUAGUUGGAUGUAUAGGGUGAGGUUUUGAGAGGAUUGUAUAUACAUUGUACAGUUUUGGAAGAAUGCAAGUUGUAAUAAUUGUAUAAAGUUAAAUAAAUUAAUAGUUAAGUA
rnacentral:lncRNA from 1 species